GAUGAACGCUGGCGGCGUGCCUAAUACAUGCAAGUCGAGCGAACGGACGAGAAGCUUGCUUCUCUGAUGUUAGCGGCGGACGGGUGAGUAACACGUGGAUAACCUACCUAUAAGACUGGGAUAACUUCGGGAAACCGGAGCUAAUACCGGAUGAUAUUUUGAACCGCAUGGUUCAAAAGUGAAAAACGGUCUUGCUGUCACUUAUAGAUGGAUCCGCGCUGCAUUAGCUAGUUGGUAAGUUAACGGCAUACCAAGGCAACGAUGCAUAGCCGACCUGAGAGGGUGACAGACAACACUGGAAGUGAUACACGCUACAGACACCGACGCCAGGCAGCAGAAAGGAAUCAUCGGCAAUGGGCGAAAGAGUGACAAAGCAACGCGGCGUAAGUGAUGAAGAUCUUCGGAUCGUAAAACUCUCUUAUUAGGGAAGAACAUAUGUGUAAGUAACUGUGCACAUCUUGACGGUACCUACUCAGAAAGCCACGGCUAACUAAGGG
rnacentral:rRNA from 1 species